UACGAAGGGGGCUAGCGUUGCUCGGAAUCACUGGGCGUAAAGCGCACGUAGGCGGACUCUUAAGUCGGUGGUGAAAUCCUGGAGCUCAACUCCAGAACUGCCUUCGAUACUGAGAGUCUUCGAGUUCGGGAGAGGUGAGUGGAACUGCGAGUGUAGAGGUGAAAUUCGUAGAUAUUCGCAAGAACACCAGUGGCGAAGGCGGCUCACUGGCCCGAUACUGACGCUGAGGUGCGAAAGCGUGGGGAGCAAACAGG
rnacentral:rRNA from 1 species